rnacentral:rRNA from 1 species
CCUACGGGAGGCUGCAGUAGGGAAUCUUUCACAAUGGGCGAAAGCCUGAUGGAGCAACGCCGCGUGCAGGAUGAAGGCCCUCGGGUUGUAAACUGCUUUUAUAAGCGAGAAAUAUGAUGGUAACUUAUGAAUAAGGAUCGGCUAACUACGUGCCAGCAGCCGCGGUCAUACGUAGGAUCCGAGCAUUAUCCGGAGUGACUGGGUGUAAAGAGUUGUGUAGGGGGGAUAAUAAGUAGCUAGUGAAAUCUGGUGGUUCAACCAUUCAGACUAUUAGCGAAACUGUUAAGCUCGAGACUGUUAGAGGUAAGUGGAAUUUGGGGUGUAGGAGUGAAAGGCAUAGAUAUUAGGAAGAACACCGAUAGCGAAGGCAGGAUACUGGGACGGAACUGACGCUGAGGCACGAAAGCGUAGGGAGCAAACAGGAUUAGAUACCCCUGUAGUC